UGGGGAAUAUUGGACAAUGGGCGCAAGCCUGAUCCAGCCAUGCCGCGUGAGUGAUGAAGGCCCUAGGGUUGUAAAGCUCUUUCACCGGUGAAGAUAAUGACGGUAACCGGAGAAGAAGCCCCGGCUAACUUCGUGCCAGCAGCCGCGGUAAUACGAAGGGGGCUAGCGUUGUUCGGAUUUACUGGGCGUAAAGCGCACGUAGGCGGACUUUUAAGUCAGGGGUGAAAUCCCGGGGCUCAACCCCGGAACUGCCUUUGAUACUGGAAGUCUUGAGUAUGGUAGAGGUGAGUGGAAUUCCGAGUGUAGAGGUGAAAUGCGUAGAUAUUCGGGGGAACACCAGUGGCGAAGGCGGCUCACUGGACCAUUACUGACGCUGAGGUGCGAAAGCGUGGGGAGCAAACAGG
rnacentral:rRNA from 1 species